rnacentral:lncRNA from 1 species
CAAAUAACCCAGAAAAAGAAACUGCCACUUAAGUGAUGAGGAUCUUGAGAAUGGUGAAGAAGUGGCCACCUGUCCGAGUUGCUCACUUAUAGUAAAAGUAAUCUAUGAUAAGGAGCAGUUCAUGUGUGGAGAAGUAAUUGAAGCACCAAAAACAACAGAAAACAAACUGGAGCUGGCCCAGAGUUGAGAGAUAGACAUCGAAAUGACUCUUGAUCUGAUCUUUUGCUCUGAUAAUGGACUUAAUACGCACAUCUGUCAUUUUACAGUUACUCACUACAUAUGCAGAUGUUUUGUGAGGAUACUGACCACAUGGACUUGAUACAUUUAGCUCCAAUAUUUUGCACACGAGUUACUAUUCUGUUAAAGUUAUUUAUUAAAAAAAAAAUAAUAAUUUUUUAAAAAUAUGCCCUGUUCUUGCUUGAAUAUACAUUUUCAGGAAUUGAGAACAUCUGUAGUUUGAUUACAUUGUAUAAAGACUUGUAUGCAAUAAUACUGAAAGACUUAAAUGACCUUUUCAUUGUCAGUGGGGUGGUAUUUAUUUAUUUAUUUUUUACUUUUUUCCAAGUCUGUCCUAUUUAUUUUAUUUGUAUUAAUAUUAUUAUUAUUAAACUAAGAAUUUCUUAGAAUAGUGCAUAUCAUAAAAUGCCCCACAAGAUUCUCCCCAUUGCCCCCUUUCCCUCACUGCAGGAUAGUACAUUUUUCAGGAUAGCAUACAAUGUUUAAAACUAAUUUCCAGGCCUUGACAAAUAUGGAAUAGUUUUGCUCACCUAUGUUCAGCACUAAAAUAUGUAAUCGGCAUACUACACUCUUUUUUUGUUUCCCAAAUAUAGUUAAGGUUAUAAAUUUGCAUAUACUAUGCAGCAAUUGCAAAAUGUAAAUAAUUUUGAAAAAAAUAAGACGGAUCAUAAAUUGCUUGUUGUUGCACUGCCUUAAACACAAAUUUUUAUUCAACAGUCACUUAUAUAGUCCACAAAACAUAGCUGAAUUUACAGAGAUGAACCAGUUCAAAAGUUUACAUACCCCUGGAUGUUAAAACUCAGGAUCAGUGACAGUUUGUAUGUUUUGUGAAAGUUAAAUUGCUCCCUUUUCUUUAGAAAAAUCCUACACUAACCCUUCCCAAUAGUGACUGUAUAUGAUAUUGAGAUCCAAGUGACUUUUACACUACUACAAAAGGUGCAAAGAUUAAUUGAUGCUCAAUAAGCUUUUGAUCCUCCAGGAAACAACACACACUAUUAAGAAUCAAGCAUUUUGAACUGCAUGGGUCGUUAGUGUAAAUUCAGUUAUUAUUUUGUCUUGUGGUAUAUGUUAACCUUUGAUAUGUAAAAUACCUUAUUUUAAAUUAGAAGUACUAAUAAAAACAAAAUGCAUUAUUUUAUUAUUAUUUAUUUUAUUUUAUUAUUAUUAUUUUUACAUUUUAUGUAUUUAAUGUUGCUUUUUCAAAUGACUUUUGGUGUGGACACAUAAUGAAAAGUCCUUUAAAUGCAUUUUAUUCUAAUCUAAUACAAUUUCAUUCAUAAGUCAUUUGCAAGAAUUGUGUUUGAAUUCAACCCAAAACCUAUGUAUCAUGAAAUGAACAAACAACAGUCAACACAGUGAAGACACAAAAAUUAAAGGAACGAACAAAACAUAUCUACCAGUCGAUAAAAAGCCAUAUUUUAUUUUAAUAUAUUAAAACUGAAUGCCGAACUGCAUGACCUCUGAAGUAAAUUCUUCAUUGUGUAAGUUCUUGGCAUUACUUUUGGACACCAGGGGGUGCUAUUUCUCAACAAAAAGAUAAAACGUACAGAAGAAUUCUCAAACUGUAGGUUAGUUUUGACACCAAUUAGAGAAUUUAUAUGAAUUUGUUUCUAAUUAAACACUGAAGUGACUCAAUAACAAAAUGUGAAUGUCCUAUUAUGGCCCAAAUGUAAAUAUAAAUCUAGAAUUCAAUAGUGCAAAUGGUUUGUAGU